CCUACGGGAGGCAGCAGUGAGGAAUAUUGGUCAAUGGACGCAAGUCUGAACCAGCCAUGCCGCGUGCAGGAAGACGGCUCUAUGAGUUGUAAACUGCUUUUGUACGAGGGUAAACGCAGAUACGCGUAUCUGUCUGCAAGUAUCGUACGAAUAAGGAUCGGCAAACUCCGUGCCAGCAGCCGCGGUACUACGGAGGAUGCGAGCGUUAUCCGGAUUUAUUGGGUUUAAGGGGUGCGUAGGCGGAAGGUUAAGUCAGCGGUCAAAUGUCGGUGCUCAACACCGGCCUGCCGUUGAAACUGGACGUCUGGAGUGAGCGAGAAGUAGGCGGAAUGCGUGGUGUAGCGGUGAAAUGCAUAGAUAUCACGCAGAACUCCGAUUGCGAAGGCAGCAUACCGGAGCGCAACUGACGAUGAGGCACGAAAGCGUGGGGAUCGAACAGGAUUAGAUACCCGGGUAGUC
rnacentral:rRNA from 1 species